rnacentral:rRNA from 1 species
AUUGAACGCUGGCGGUAGGCCUAACACAUGCAAGUCGAGCGGAUGAAGGGAGCUUGCUCCUGGAUUCAGCGGCGGACGGGUGAGUAAUGCCUAGGAAUCUGCCUGGUAGUGGGGGAUAACGUCCGGAAACGGGCGCUAAUACCGCAUACGUCCUGAGGGAGAAAGUGGGGGAUCUUCGGACCUCACGCUAUCAGAUGAGCCUAGGUCGGAUUAGCUAGUUGGUGGGGUAAAGGCCUACCAAGGCGACGAUCCGUAACUGGUCUGAGAGGAUGAUCAGUCACACUGGAACUGAGACACGGUCCAGACUCCUACGGGAGGCAGCAGUGGGGAAUAUUGGACAAUGGGCGAAAGCCUGAUCCAGCCAUGCCGCGUGCGUGAAGAAGGUCUUCGGAUUGUAAAGCACUUUAAGUUGGGAGGAAGGGCAGUAAGUUAAUACCUUGCUGUUUUGACGUUACCAACAGAAUAAGCACCGGCUAACUUCGUG